ACGCUGGCGGCGUGCCUAAUACAUGCAAGUAGAACGCUGAAGAGAGGAGCCUGCUCUUCUUGGAUGAGUUGCGAACGGGUGAGUAACGCGUAGGUAACCUGCCUGGUAGCGGGGGAUAACUAUUGGAAACGAUAGCUAAUACCGCAUGAUAUUAAUUGUCGCAUGAUAAUUAAUUGAAAGAUGCAAUUGCAUCACUACCAGAUGGACCUGCGUUGUAUUAGCUAGUUGGUGAGGUAACGGCUCACCAAGGCGACGAUACAUAGCCGACCUGAGAGGGUGAUCGGCCACACUGGGACUGAGACACGGCCCAGACUCCUACGGGAGGCAGCAGUAGGGAAUCUUCGGCAAUGGGGGGAACCCUGACCGAGCAACGCCGCGUGAGUGAAGAAGGUUUUCGGAUCGUAAAGCUCUGUUGUAAGAGAAGAACGGGUGUGAGAGUGGAAAGUUCACACUGUGACGGUAUCUUACCAGAAAGGGACGGCUAACUACGUGCCAGCAGCCGCGGUAAUACGUAGGUCCCGAGCGUUGUCCGGAUUUAUUGGGCGUAAAGCGAGCGCAGGCGGUUAGAUAAGUCUGAAGUUAAAGGCUGUGGCUUAACCAUAGUAUGCUUUGGAAACUGUUUAACUUGAGUGCAGAAGGGGAGAGUGGAAUUCCAUGUGUAGCGGUGAAAUGCGUAGAUAUAUGGAGGAACACCGGUGGCGAAAGCGGCUCUCUGGUCUGUAACUGACGCUGAGGCUCGAAAGCGUGGGGAGCAAACAGGAUUAGAUACCCUGGUAGUCCACGCCGUAAACGAUGAGUGCUAGGUGUUAGGCCCUUUCCGGGGCUUAGUGCCGCAGCUAACGCAUUAAGCACUCCGCCUGGGGAGUACGACCGCAAGGUUGAAACUCAAAGGAAUUGACGGGGGCCCGCA
rnacentral:rRNA from 1 species